rnacentral:misc_RNA from 1 species
GAUGAAGAACGCAGCGAAAUGCGAUAAGUAAUGUGAAUUGCAGAAUUCAGUGAAUCAUCGAAUCUUUGAACGCACAUUGCGCCCUUUGGUAUUCCGAAGGGCAUGCCUGUUCGAGCGUCAUUUCACCACUCAAGCCUGGCUUGGUAUUGGGCGCCGCGGUCGAUCCGCGCGCCUCAAAGUCUCCGGCUGAGCUGUCCGUCUCUAAGCGUUGUGAUUUCAUUAAUCGCUUCGGAGUGCGGGCGGCCGCGGCCGUUAAAUCUUUCACAAGGUUGACCUCGGAUCAGGUAGGGAUACCCGCUGAACUUAAGCAUAUCAAUAAGCGGAUGA